rnacentral:misc_RNA from 1 species
GGGAAAGCUUGAUUUGAAGCGUCCAUUCUUGGCACUUGGCACACCCUUUCUCGGCCAUGGAAAUCCAUUGCCACUGCAACUUUCAUCUUGAAUCCGUCGGACAUCUUCUUCUGGACUUGAUCUUCAUUNNNUGUUUACCUUCCCUUUUACAGUCCAAACAUCCACAGGAAAAACCACUUUCAAUUUCACCACAUUCAGCACCGAUAUGCCACAGAUAAAGUUUGAAGGAGACGCAUACGCAGCAAGCCAAAUCAUUGAACUGAACAAUAACUUGGAAGACAUCGUUCCUUCUAUUGGCAGCGCCGGUCC